rnacentral:rRNA from 1 species
UACGUAGGGCGCAAGCGUUGUCCGGAAUUAUUGGGCGUAAAGAGCUCGUAGGCGGUUUGUCGCGUCUGUCGUGAAAGCCCACAGCUUAACUGUGGGUCUGCGGUGGAUACGGGCAGACUAGAGGCAGGUAGGGGAGAACGGAAUUCCCGGUGUAGCGGUGAAAUGCGCAGAUAUCGGGAGGAACACCGGUGGCGAAGGCGGGUCUCUGGGCCGAUACUGACGCUGAGGAGCGAAAGCGUGGGGAGCAAACAGG